rnacentral:rRNA from 1 species
CUACUCUUGACAUCCAGCGAACUUGGCAGAGAUGCUUUGGUGCCUUCGGGAACUCUGAGACAGGUGCUGCAUGGCUGUCGUCAGCUCGUGUUGUGAAAUGUUGGGUUAAGUCCCGCAACGAGCGCAACCCUUAUCCUUUGUUGCCAGCGAUUCGGUCGGGAACUCAAAGGAGACUGCCGGUGAUAAACCGGAGGAAGGUGGGGAUGACGUCAAGUCAUCAUGGCCCUUACGAGUAGGGCUACACACGUGCUACAAUGGCGCAUACAAAGAGAAGCGACCUCGCGAGAGCAAGCGGACCUCACAAAGUGCGUCGUAGUCCGGAUCGGAGUCUGCAACUCGACUCCGUGAAGUCGGAAUCGCUAGUAAUCGUGGAUCAGAAUGCCACGGUGAAUACGUUCCC